GGUUAAGCGACUAAGCGUACACGGUGGAUGCCCUGGCAGUCAGAGGCGAUGAAGGACGUGCUAAUCUGCGAUAAGCGUCGGUAAGGUGAUAUGAACCGUUAUAACCGGCGAUUUCCGAAUGGGGAAACCCAGUGUGUUUCGACACACUAUCAUUAACUGAAUCCAUAGGUUAAUGAGGCGAACCGGGGAACUGAAACAUCUAAGUACCCUGAGGAAAAGAAAUCAACCGAGAUUCCCCCAGUAGCGGCGAGCGAACGGGGAGCAGCCCAGAGCCUGAAUCAGUGUGUGUGUUAGUGGAAGCGUCUGGAAAGGCGCGCGAUACAGGGUGACAGCCCCGUACACAAAAAUGCACAUGCUGUGAGCUCGAUGAGUAGGGCGGGACACGUGGUAUCCUGUCUGAAUAUGGGGGACCAUCCUCCAAGGCUAAAUACUCCUGACUGACCGAUAGUGAACCAGUACCGUGAGGGAAAGGCGAAAAGAACCCCGGCGAGGGGAGUGAAAAAGAACCUGAAACCGUGUACGUACAAGCAGUGGGAGCACGCUUAGGCGUGUGACUGCGUACCUUUGUAUAAUGGGUCAGCGACUUAUAUUCUGUAGCAAGGUUAACCGAAUAGGGGAGCCGAAGGGAAACCGAGUCUUAACUGGGCGUUAAGUUGCAGGGUAUAGACCCGAAACCCGGUGAUCUAGCCAUGGGCAGGUUGAAGGUUGGGUAACACUAACUGGAGGACCGAACCGACUAAUGUUGAAAAAUUAGCGGAUGACUUGUGGCUGGGGGUGAAAGGCCAAUCAAACCGGGAGAUAGCUGGUUCUCCCCGAAAGCUAUUUAGGUAGCGCCUCGUGAAUUCAUCUCCGGGGGUAGAGCACUGUUUCGGCAAGGGGGUCAUCCCGACUUACCAACCCGAUGCAAACUGCGAAUACCGGAGAAUGUUAUCACGGGAGACACACGGCGGGUGCUAACGUCCGUCGUGAAGAGGGAAACAACCCAGACCGCCAGCUAAGGUCCCAAAGUCAUGGUUAAGUGGGAAACGAUGUGGGAAGGCCCAGACAGCCAGGAUGUUGGCUUAGAAGCAGCCAUCAUUUAAAGAAAGCGUAAUAGCUCACUGGUCGAGUCGGCCUGCGCGGAAGAUGUAACGGGGCUAAACCAUGCACCGAAGCUGCGGCAGCGACGCUGAUGCGUUGUUGGGUAGGGGAGCGUUCUGUAAGCCUGCGAAGGUGUGCUGUGAGGCAUGCUGGAGGUAUCAGAAGUGCGAAUGCUGACAUAAGUAACGAUAAAGCGGGUGAAAAGCCCGCUCGCCGGAAGACCAAGGGUUCCUGUCCAACGUUAAUCGGGGCAGGGUGAGUCGACCCCUAAGGCGAGGCCGAAAGGCGUAGUCGAUGGGAAACAGGUUAAUAUUCCUGUACUUGGUGUUACUGCGAAGGGGGACGGAGAAGGCUAUGUUGGUACGGGCGACGGUUGUCCCGGUUUAAGCGUGUAGGCUGGUUUUCCAGGCAAAUCCGGAAAAUCAAGGCUGAGGCGUGAUGACGAGGCACUACGGUGCUGAAGCAACAAAUGCCCUGCUUCCAGGAAAAGCCUCUAAGCAUCAGGUAACAUCAAAUCGUACCCCAAACCGACACAGGUGGUCAGGUAGAGAAUACCAAGGCGCUUGAGAGAACUCGGGUGAAGGAACUAGGCAAAAUGGUGCCGUAACUUCGGGAGAAGGCACGCUGAUAUGUAGGUGAAGUCCCUUGCGGAUGGAGCUGAAAUCAGUCGAAGAUACCAGCUGGCUGCAACUGUUUAUUAAAAACACAGCACUGUGCAAACACGAAAGUGGACGUAUACGGUGUGACGCCUGCCCGGUGCCGGAAGGUUAAUUGAUGGGGUUAGCGCAAGCGAAGCUCUUGAUCGAAGCCCCGGUAAACGGCGUACCGUAACUAUAACGGUCCUAAGGUAGCGAAAUUCCUUGUCGGGUAAGUUCCGACCUGCACGAAUGGCGUAAUGAUGGCCAGGCUGUCUCCACCCGAGACUCAGUGAAAUUGAACUCGCUGUGAAGAUGCAGUGUACCCGCGGCAAGACGGAAAGACCCCGUGAACCUUUACUAUAGCUUGACACUGAACAUUGAGCCUUGAUGUGUAGGAUAGGUGGGAGGCUUUGAAGUGUGGACGCCAGUCUGCAUGGAGCCGACCUUGAAAUACCACCCUUUAAUGUUUGAUGUUCUAACGUGGACCCGUGAUCCGGGUUGCGGACAGUGUCUGGUGGGUAGUUUGACUGGGGCGGUCUCCUCCUAAAGAGUAACGGAGGAGCACGAAGGUUGGCUAAUCCUGGUCGGACAUCAGGAGGUUAGUGCAAUGGCAUAAGCCAGCUUGACUGCGAGCGUGACGGCGCGAGCAGGUGCGAAAGCAGGUCAUAGUGAUCCGGUGGUUCUGAAUGGAAGGGCCAUCGCUCAACGGAUAAAAGGUACUCCGGGGAUAACAGGCUGAUACCGCCCAAGAGUUCAUAUCGACGGCGGUGUUUGGCACCUCGAUGUCGGCUCAUCACAUCCUGGGGCUGAAGUAGGUCCCAAGGGUAUGGCUGUUCGCCAUUUAAAGUGGUACGCGAGCUGGGUUUAGAACGUCGUGAGACAGUUCGGUCCCUAUUUGCCGUGGGCGCUGGAGAACUGAGGGGGCUGCUCCUAGUACGAGAGGACCGGAGUGGACGCAUCACUGGUGUUCGGGUUGUCAUGCCAAUGGCACUGCCCGGUAGCUAAAUGCGGAAGAGAUAAGUGCUGAAAGCAUCUAAGCACGAAACUUGCCCCGAGAUGAGUUCUCCCUGACUCCUUGAGAGUCCUGAAGGAACGUUGAAGACGACGACGUUGAUAGGCCGGGUGUGUAAGCGCAGCGAUGCGUUGAGCUAACCGGUACUAAUGAACCGUGAGGCUUAACCUU
rnacentral:rRNA from 1 species